AUUGAACGCUGGCGGCAGGCCUAACACAUGCAAGUCGAGCGGAUGAAGGGAGCUUGCUCCUGGAUUCCGCGGCGGACGGGUGAGUAAUGCCCAUGAAUCUGCCUGGUAUUGGUGUAUAACGUCCUGAAACGGGCGCUAAUACCGCAUACUUCCUGAUGGAGAAACUUGGGGAUCUUCGGACCUCACGCUCUCAUAUGAGCCUAGGUCGGAUUAGCUAGUUGGUUGGUUAAUUGCCUACCAAGGCGACGAUCCGUAACUGGUCUGAGAGGAUGAUCAGUCACACUGGAACUGAGACACGGCCCAGACUACUAAGGGAGGGAGCAGUGGGGAAUAGUGGACAGUGGGGGAAAGUCUGAUACAGCGAUGCCGAGUGUGUGAAGAAGGUCUUCGGAGUGUAAAGAACUUUAAGUUGGGAGGAAGGGCAGUAAGUUAAUACCUUGCUGUUUUGACGGUAACAAGAGAAUAAGCACCGGCUAACUACGUG
rnacentral:rRNA from 1 species